AUUGCUGUCUUCUCUCCUGGCUGCUCUGGGACAAAAACAAUCUCAUAGAAACUGCUGCAUCAGAUCCACCAGGAAGAAAAAAGGAUGCUACUGGCCCAAGGAGAAUGUAGAAACCUGUGGUGUCAACUUGAACCCAACUUUACUACGUAGUGAAGCCCAGCUCCUUCCAGUCAAGUCCGAGGAGCCAUAGUUGGUCACCCAUGAGUAAGAAAAUGAGCGGCAGCUG
rnacentral:lncRNA from 1 species